GGAAGAUGAAAUUGUUUUUAAAUUAUUGAGUUGUGGUUGUAAAGUGCGUCUUACUGGUUUCGAUGAUGGGAACGGUAAUGUUGGAGAUCAAGAGUGAUGUAGCAACAUCUGAGGCAAACAAGGAAAGUGAUGAUCCCAAAGUAAGGAGGAGAAGGAAGUCGAGGCCAAGAAAUACGAUUACGACAAGGUACCUGGUUCACCACAUUUUCAUUGAACUCAGAAGGCCAUCGCAAUGAGCAGCCACUUCCAAGGCUUACAACACCAUAAUCAUCUCGUGCAAACGGUGGUUCGAAGUUCCUGCAUUUGGACAAGUACCAUGGAUACU